AGGGAAACCGAGUCUUAAUUGGGCGUUAAGUUGCAGGGUAUAGACCCGAAACCCGGUGAUCUAGCCAUGGGCAGGUUGAAGGUUGGGUAACACUAACUGGAGGACCGAACCGACUAAUGUUGAAAAAUUAGCGGAUGACCUGUGGCUGGGGGUGAAAGGCCAAUCAAACCGGGAGAUAGCUGGUUCUCCCCGAAAGCUAUUUAGGUAGCGCCUCGUGAAUUCAUCUCCGGGGGUAGAGCACUGUUUCGGCUAGGGGGCCAUCCCGGCUUACCAACCCGAUGCAAACUGCGAAUACCGGAGAAUGUUAUCACGGGAGACACACGGCGGGUGCUAACGUCCGUCGUGAAGAGGGAAACAACCCAGACCGCCAGCUAAGGUCCCAAAGUCAUGGUUAAGUGGGAAACGAUGUGGGAAGGCCCAGACAGCCAGGAUGUUGGCUUAGAAGCAGCCAUCAUUUAAAGAAAGCGUAAUAGCUCACUGGUCGAGUCGGCCUGCGCGGAAGAUGUAACGGGGCUAAACCAUGCACCGAAGCUGCGGCAGC
rnacentral:rRNA from 2 species